GCCAGCUCAUUAGAUAGAGAAACAAUGGGGUAUAUGUAGGCCUCCUCCUAGGCUCUGGAGCAGUUACACCCUCUGCUUCCCCCUGGCCAAAUGGGCCCAGGAUUAUGGUGGAAGGACAUCCACCCCUUCCCCAUAACACCCGCUGUCCACUUAUCUAGAAUCCAUCUCCCAAUUGCCUAACACCAGAUAGUGGGCAGAGAGAGGGGUGAAGGGGGACUCAGAUCACAGACCUGGGUACUUGCUCCAGCAGGGACACCUUCCACCCAAUGUCCUUGGCUACUCCAGGUAUGCUCAACCCAGACCUCCCCCAACCACAGCUGGGCGUAGUGUCUCUAAGCCUUCUGCAAGUGCACGCACCUGGCCAGGCUUGCCCAGCGUGGAGCCCAAUGCAGGGUUUGAACUCAUGACCCUUGGAUGAAGAUCUGAACUGAGAUCAAUAGUCAAAACACUCAACUGACUGAGCCAUCCAGGCACCCCUGGUUUCUCACAUUCUAAGACUAGGAGCUGGCCUUUCCUCCUGCUGCCAUAAUUGACUUCUUGGGAUUCUUCUAAUGGUUCCUCUGUUCCCUCCAGCACCUCUACCCCUGCUAACUUCAGGCCAUGGCUCCCUCCCGGUCUCUCCCCUAAGAAGUCUAAGCCUGUGAGUUAUUUUACAGAGCAUGGACUGCUGGACACUCAAACUGCUGGCCAAGGCUAGGGCCCCAGCUUUGGUAGGUCACAGAGGCUCUGACCAAACCUCACUGGUUUCUCUGGUCUCCUGAGAACUGCAGAGGUCCUGUCCUCUACCCCUGUCCUUACCUCUCUUUGAGGUAAACUAUGCUGCUCAGAUGCCUGGCUUUUGCUCCCAGGAAAGCAGUCAUGUCAUAAUGGCUAAUAAUUGUUGCUUAAGAGUGUGUGCUUGCCUCAACUAAGAGCGUCCUCAGGUCAGGAGUGUGCAUGUGUGAGACAAUUCCAUCUUCCAGAAUCUUUUGCUCAAGAACAAAGGUAUCUUAGCUCCUGAGGCCAAGCCAGAGACACAUUAGAGAGAAGCCAGGAGACGGGAGAGAGGGAGGGACAGGUCCAGGUCUUGGUGGGAAGGAGUUUCAAAGCAGAGUUAAGAAUGAGAUGAAACCCGGGGCCAAGUUUCUCCCCUUUUCCACUUUCUCACUCUGUGCGGGACAGCUUGUGUAUUCUUGGGCCCUGCCUGAACCCCUGCCCACAAGAAGCUGGUGUGUGGUGUGGGCUAACAAAACUCUUCCAGUGAUCCAAGGCUAGAAGUCAUCAUAGGAAAGCCCACACACACUGCAGAGAGGGGCCACUCUCUGGCCAGAUGGCAUGAGGCAAAAAAGCCGGGCAGAUGCUGAUCACCUGGUUAGAUCAGAGUUCUUGCUGCCUGCGUCCCCUUCACACCACACAGUGCUUAAGUGGCUGAGACAAGAUAAAGGAUGGACUGAGGGCCUGGAGAGAGCCCUGCCUGGACAGACUGAUCCUCAGCCCUGGGGGUUUUAGGUGGGCCAAGAGGCUGAGUCACUGCAAGAUAGAAUCCUGGGCCUAGAGUGCUCUAUACCCUUCUAGGUGACUGACCCCCCAACUUGGCCAAGCUGUGAAACUGCCACUAGUCUGCUCUGGCCACUCACCUAGGGACCUCCCACUUCCUCCAUCUCUACCCAUCCCUCUCCCUCUUGCCAAGUCUCAGGCAGGGUGAGAAGCUCCUGGUUCCAGCACAAUCAAGAUGGUCUGGCCUAAGGCUUCAUUCAGGCUCAGCCUCACAGAUUCCUGGUUACCGGACCUCCCACAAGAUUGACAACAACACAGCUUUGCUCAGACAGUAUCAGACAUUUAUGAAACAAGUGAAUAUUCACAAAAUGUGGGAGAAACACACCUUCUCAGUAAGAAUAAAAUCUCUGUAUAAAGUG